CUUUGCUGGAUUUGAAUUAGAAUAGUUAGGGUUAUAAUUUGUAUUAAAAUCUCAAAAGAACCCUCUAAUGGAAGAAGAAAGAAAACCAACUUCAAACAUCAUUUUAUGAGAAUUAGUGGUGACAAUAGGGUGUGAAAUUGGCUUGAAAAGAAGAACUAUUUUAUUUUAGAUUUAUAUUUUUAAUUAUUUUCUUACUCUUUUUUAUACUUUUAUUUCCCUUUUUAAGUAUUUUUCCGAUGGUGAUGGAGGGUAGGGGAUGGGGAUAGUGGCAUUAAUUGGGAAGAUAAAAUAUCUUUCUUUUAUUAUAGUAUUUGGAAUUAUUUUGUGUGGUACUCGUUUAUACUUUUUAAAAAGCUUAGAGCUCUAUCUACAACUUUUUUAUAUUCUUUUUUCUUUUCUAUUUCCUCAUUUAAAGAGGAGAGUAAAUUAAUCAUUUUAACUGCUUUAAUGGAGGUAAUAAUCUUCUACGAAAGGAAAGGUCGAUCUAAGAAUUCAAAUGUCAAAAUUGAAACAAUAUACAAAUGAUAGGGAUGGUUUGCAUCAAUAGAAUGAACAGAAAGGACCAAUUCUGAAAAGAAAAAAGGUCGAAAUAAGGGUGCGAAUAUCAAACUUGAAACUAAUAGGGACGAUCUGAACAAUGAAUACAAACAACGAUGACCUUUUGCACAAGACUAUUUUUUGACACAGGUGUCAAAAUCUUAUGGAAGUUAACCGACGGAUUAGAUUAGCGCAACAAAUAUGAAAUAAAAUAUUCACACGCUGCACUUUGAUGGACCACAACCUUCGUCAUUAGAUGUGGUAUUUUAGUAUAUACAACUAAAAGGAGAAACA
rnacentral:lncRNA from 1 species